AUUUAAAUAAAUAUGUAUAUGUAUAUAUAUUGUUAAAUAUAUAUGCAUAAAUGGGGCGGAUAUGGGUGAAUCCCAUCCUCGUUCCAUUUCCCUUUUAAUCAUGAAAUCUCCAUCCCAUUAAAUGCGGAUUUCCAUGAAGACCGAAUUAUACGGAUUGUUUUAUCAUCCCUACAUAUGAGGAUAUCCUCAAAUUUAAAAAAGGCUUUUCUCCAUAAUUUGUUUGCUUCUCUUUCAAUUUGGGCCUAUAUUGCAGCUAGAGAGGGAGAACAAGGGUAUUUGGAAAUCUUAUCCGAUUGGAAAUCUUGUUGUCCUUGUUAAAUUUGCAAGUGGGCCUUCCUCCAUCUUGUUGUUGAGUAAAUUUAAGCUUUUUUUAUCCUUAGAUUUAAGGAAUUUUUUCUUUGUGUUUCUGAGAUACCCUGUUCUUGAUUCAGGGUAAGCUAACGAUUUAUAAUUAACUUAUUUUUGUAAAAUACCAAUCUAAAUUGUUCUUGAUCAAGCUUACUAUUGCAUGGAAGACAAGCACUGUUUAUAUUCAUUUACAUCAAUCGUUGUUAUUUAAAGUAAUAUUACGAGAGGAAGUUAAUUGCAGAAUCAACCACAGCCAAAAUCACAAUUUUAUAUCUUUUGAAGCCAAAAACUUCGACAAGCAGCUUGAAACUACCAGUUUCCUCUUGAUGACAUUUAAACCAUAUAAAUAUUGUAAGACUAGUUACUCCUUUUAGCUUUUCAUCUCAAAAAAUAUUAUACGAAAUUAGAUAGGAGUUGGUUACAAUAAGAAAAAAUUGAAACGAUCAUUAAUUUCUUUAUUUGAGCUCAAGAAGUUAAGUGUUAAACCCCUUUUAUUUUUGUAAUUAACUACUGCUUUUCCUCUUGUUGAUAUUGUAGAAUGGAAAUAAUUUUUUGAAUUUAUGGACCUUGAGGAAUAAGAAAAAUAUAUUAGUUUAUAUCCUGGGAGGCUUUAGUUACUCAUUCAGCUCUCUACUUAUGUUCACAAAUUCAAAGAAUUUAAUAACUUACACAACAAUAGAAAAUUAGUACAGUAAUUUUGAGACACAAAAUAGGCCCACAAUUUGGCAAGUCAAAAGAACUAUUACCAGAAACAAAUUAUUGAGUAGUUGAUUUGUAUCAAUCGAAUCCAUAUUCGAAUAUUAUAAGAUAAUAUAAAUGUCAUUGUCUUUGGAAUUAUCCAACAUCCAGAUAGACAUGGGUUAUAAAUGUCAUUGUCUUUGGAAUUAUCCAACAUCCAGAUAGACAUUGCUUUUCAUACACUUUGUCAAAAUACCAAAUCAUGUUGUCUUCUCUCUUGGUCCUCCUUUGACUGCUUUUCAGUUGCUAAUCCUAUCUGCAUGAUUAAAUUUUACAUCACUAAUUUCCGUUGGAGUAAGCAAGGGAUAGAUUGUUCGUCAAGGCACGCACUCUUGUGCACUUGUUUUAUUCGAAUGAAUGAUUACACUAUAGUAAAUUAUUCAUUAUUAUAUAAAAAUUAUAUUUUCACUAAACAAUAUAUGUGAAAAAAAAUCUCUAAACAAGCUUGGGGUCAUAUUGAGAGGAAAAAUGUCGAUCGUGUUUGUUCCACUCAUGGUUAUCUUUUAAAGAACAUUCAUGAUGUCUGAAUAUUUUUUGCAUUGCAUUAUGUAAGUGGCUGCAGGUGGCUUUCUUCUCAGUCUUGUUCCUCAUCCAUUAUCCAUUUUGUGCCUUGGUCUCUAUAGAACUUUGGAACCAUGGUCAAUUCAUGGUUCUAGCAGCAUGAUUCUCUCUAUCUAGUUAGGAACAGGUUUGAAAACACUGCUAUAUUAGAUAGUUAAUAACCAAACAAUUUAGAAAACCUACUCCAUAAGAAUGAAACAAGUGUUGAUUGGUCGAUAAAAUAAUUGUUCAAAUGGAAUACGGAAAACAUGAUAUAUCUCAAACUGGAAAUCCAUGUUAUCAGGAGCAAGCAAAUUAGUACCACAAGUAGUCAAAGUUGUUUGUCUCGUUAGUUGCAUGUUUUUAAGUUAAUUCUUUCUUUCGGAGAUCUUGAGUUUCCGAAUACUUUUCUUGACAUAUAUUUUGUCUGGUGGGAAUGUUAACAUUGAAAUCCCAUUGGCUUAGGAAAACAGACAAGCAAGAAUAUCAACAGGAUUAUUUGGUCAAACCAGGUAAGCCAAAUUUUAUGAGGAUAAGUUUUAUAUAUAUAUAUAUAUAUAUAUAUAAUCUGAUAGUAAUAAUUUCACUUUUAAUUGCUGACUACAUGAACAUUAGUUGGUGUUUUUGCAGGAAUUGUUGUUCUAUCUCUAUUUGUACGAGCUUGCUCCAAGUAGUUGAAAUGAUGUCAAAUCUUUCUAACAUAUGAAAUGCAUAUAUAAAGGUAUACACAAUUGUUGGGCUGAGUGAAUAAAUUCAAGCCCUUUUACGUUGUA